UGGGGAAUCUUCCGCAAUGGACGAAAGUCUGACGGAGCAACGCCGCGUGUAUGAUGAAGGUCUUCGGAUUGUAAAGUACUGUCAUUGGGGAAGAACGGUUUUCUUGAAAAGAUUGAGAAGACAUGACGGUACCCAAGGAGGAAGCCCCGGCUAACUACGUGCCAGCAGCCGCGGUAAUACGUAGGGGGCAAGCGUUGUCCGGAAUUAUUGGGCGUAAAGGGCGCGUAGGCGGGCUUUUAAGUCCGGUGUGAAAGAUCAGGGCUCAACCCUGAGAGUGCAUCGGAAACUGGAGGCCUUGAGGACAGGAGAGGAAAGUGGAAUUCCACGUGUAGCGGUGAAAUGCGUAGAUAUGUGGAGGAACACCAGUGGCGAAGGCGACUUUCUGGACUGUAACUGACGCUGAGGCGCGAAAGCGUGGGGAGCAAACAGGAUUAGAUACCCUGGUAGUCCACGCCGUAAACGAUGAGUGCUAGGUGUAGAGGGUAUCGACCCCUUCUGUGCCGCAGUUAACACAAUAAGCACUCCCGCCUGGGGAGUACGGCCGCAAGGUUGAAACUUAAAUGAAUUGACGGGGUCAUAGCUGUUUCCU
rnacentral:rRNA from 1 species